UUACGACCAUAUCAUGUCGAAACACAAGUUCUUGUAUGAUCACCGAAGUUAAGCAAAAUUGAGCCUGAUCAGUAUCUAGAUGGGUGAUCUCUUUGGGAUACCAG